CCGUAACAAUAACGGUCUUAAGGUAGCGAAAUUCCUUGUCGGUUAAGUUCCGACCUGCACGAAUGGCAUAAUGAUGGCGGCGCUGUCUCCAGCAGAGACUCAGUGAAAUCGAAAUCGCAGUGAAGAUGCUGUGUAUCCGCGGCUAGACGGAAAGACCCCGUGAACCUUUACUAUAGCUUGACACUGAACAUUGAGCCUUGAUGUGUAGGAUAGGUGGGAGGCUUUGAAGUGU
rnacentral:rRNA from 1 species